AUGGACUGGGAAGAAGCGGCGACUUUGCAGGUGGAGGCCGUAGCGGCGGCGGCGGUUGAUUUGUCGCCGGUGGAGGCCGUAGCGGCGGCGGAGGAGGUUGAGGCGGACACAUCAGUCAACCGCAGCAUCGUCAACAAUCAGAGACUCACUCCUAUUGCAAAGCUUCUCAUUACAUUGGUAGGAGUUGUAAUUGCAUUUCAACCUGCUAGUGCUAUCAAGAUUCCUGAGAGUAUUAAUGGAGUGCCACUUAUUGGGAUGGAAGCGGAUCUAGAGGACUAUGCUAGGUUGGCUCGGGAAGGACGUCGAGUAGCCAAAAUGCGCUCGCCAUUUACCAUGUCAAGGGAAGGUCUGCCUGUGCUUGAAAAUCAGACUGGAGUUGCAAAACCACCGCCGGCCUGGUUAUAUAACAAGAUUGUAAAUGGCCAUGAUCAGGUGGUAUUUCUGAUUAGAAGCGAUAACCUGUAUAUCGGUGGAUACAUAAAUCCCCAAGGAAUUAUCCAUUCAUUCGCCCAAUAUUCAAGUAUGCUCCCCGGAUCCAUUUCUCUAGGAAUCGGUGGAAGUUAUAGAGACCUAGUUGGUCGUAGGUCAAACCUUGCAAACCUUGAUCUAGGCAAAAGGGCAAUGAAGAGAGCUUUGAAGAUUCUUUCUCGGUACAAACAUGGAGUCAGCGACUUCUUUCAGAUGACAACUUCACUGGCAAGGUACUCUGUGGUAUUAUGUGAGGCACAGAGGUUCACGGAGAUUCAUGAAUCUUUACUUGAUAAAUGGAACUCAAGGACUGGAUACUAUAUUCAGCGGCCUAAGGAGCUCUUAGUUAGCUGGGCUUCACUGUCGUGUGGUGUGCUGGAGAAGUGGAAACCCACCCUCAAAUAUGGUAAAACCUAUUAUUAUGAGACAUUGUGGAACUAUGACAAUGUACGGUUCAAACUUAGAACAUCAAAAACAGGAGCUCCAUAUCUCUUGAGAUUGCUGAUAAAGGGCAAAAGAUGCCAGGAUAGCAUAAUGGGCUGGGGCCACCGCCCUUAG
rnacentral:rRNA from 1 species